UUGGAGGGCAAGUCUGGUGCCAGCAGCCGCGGUAACUCCAGCUCCAAUAGCGUAUAUUAAAGUUGUUGCUGUUAAAAAGCUCGUAGUUGAAUUUCGGGGUUCUACCGUUGGUCGGGCUUUGUCUGUACUGGUGUGUAGAAUUUCUACCUUCUGGGGAACCAUCAUGCUAUUAAUUUAGCGUGGUGGGAAACCAGGACCUUUACCUUGAAAAAAUUAGUGUGUUCGAAGCAGGCUUAUGUCUGAAUACAUUAGCGUGGAAUAAUAGAAUAGGACGGUGGUCCUGUUUUGUUGGUUUCUGAAUCACCGUAAUGAUUAAUAGGGAUAGUUGGGGGCAUUAGUAUUCAAUUGUCAGAGGUGAAAUUCUUGGAUUUAUUGAAGACUAACUUCUGCGAAAGCGUUUGCCAAGGAUGUUUUCAUUAAUCAAGAACGAAAGUUAGGGGAUCGAAGACGAUCAGAUACCGUCGUAGUCUUAACCAUAAACUAUGCCGACUAGGGAUCGGACGAUGUUGAUUUUUCUUGACUCGUUCGGCGCCUUACGGGAAAC
rnacentral:rRNA from 1 species